rnacentral:rRNA from 1 species
GACGAACGCUGGCGGCGUGCCUAAUACAUGCAAGUAGAACGCUGAAGGAGGAGCUUGCUUCUCCGGAUGAGUUGCGAACGGGUGAGUAACGCGUAGGUAACCUGCCUGGUAGCGGGGGAUAACUAUUGGAAACGAUAGCUAAUACCGCAUAACAGUAGAUAUUGCAUGAUAUCUGCUUGAAAGGUGCAAUUGCAUCACUACCAGAUGGACCUGCGUUGUAUUAGCUAGUUGGUGAGGUAACGGCUCACCAAGGCGACGAUACAUAGCCGACCGGAGAGGGUGAUCGGCCACACUGGGAAUGAGACACGGCCCAGACUCCUACGGGAGGCAGCAGUAGGGAAGCUUCGGCAAUGGACGGAAGUCUGACCGAGCAACGCCGCGUGCGGGAAGAAGGUUUUCGGAUCGUAAAGCUCUGUUGUAAGAGAAGAACGAGUGUGAGAGUGGAAAGUUCACACUGUGACGGUAUCUUACCAGAAAGGGACGGCUAACUACGUG